rnacentral:lncRNA from 1 species
CCUUGCACACCACGCUCGCCAAGGAACCCCUUCUCAGCACUGAAUUGAGAUUAUCCCAAACAGCCCCUCUCUUCCUCCUAGGGAUGUGUCAAAGGCUUCCCCCCUCCCCAAACUAUGGACCAAGAUUUAUCAAUAGAAGGGUUGAGGGAAAGUCACAGCAUAUUCCAGCAGCUCUUAAAAGAAGUCACCCAGACUAGCAAUCAUGCAGCCCCCACUUCCCUCUGUGCUGCUCCCUUCAUGGGAGGAAGUUCUUUCCGGCGUCUAACCUCAAUCCCUCUAGUUGAUGGCUGUCUGAUUAGCUAGGAGCGGGGGCCUGUCCCUCUGGAUUCCCUGCAUCUCCCACCCCUCUGGCCGGCUGCUCCCUCUUACCUGUUCACCAGGUUUGCCUGCUUCACCUGGAGGACCAGCAGGACCAGGGAGACCCUGUAG